AGCGCGAUGGCCGAGCGGUUUAAGGCGCCAAGACGGGGCGUCCAUUCGCAAAUCUGGUCCACAGGCGUGGGUUCGAAUCCCGCUCUCGUCA
rfam:Trametes versicolor FP-101664 SS1 unplaced genomic scaffold TRAVEscaffold_12, whole genome shotgun sequence.